CCUACGGGGUGCAGCAGUGAGGAAUAUUGGUCAAUGGGCGAGAGCCUGAACCAGCCAAGUCGCGUGAAGGAUGAAGGAUCUAUGGUUUGUAAACUUCUUUUAUAUGGGAAUAAAGUGAGGAACGUGUUCCUUUUUGUAUGUACCAUAUGAAUAAGCAUCGGCUAACUCCGUGACAUCAGCCGAGGUAAUACGGAGGAUGCGAGCGUUAUCCGGAUUUAUUGGGUUUAAAGGGUGCGUAGGUGGUUAAUUAAGUCAGCGGUGAAAGUUUGUGGCUCAACACUAAAAGUGCCGUUGAAACUGGUUGACUUGAGUAUAUUUGAGGCAGGCGGAAUGCGUGGUGUAGCUGUGAAAUGCUUAGAUAUCACGCAGAACCCCGAUUGCGAAGGCAGCCUGCCAAGCCAUGACUGACGCUGAUGCACGAAAGCGUGGGGAGCAAACAGGAUUAGAUACCCGAGUAGUC
rnacentral:rRNA from 1 species